UACAGAGGGUGCAAGCGUUGUUCGGAAUUAUUGGGCGUAAAGCGCGUGUAGGCGGCUUUGCAAGUCGGGUGUGAAAGCCCUCAGCUCAACUGAGGAAGUGCGCCCGAAACUGCAGAGCUUGAGUACCGGAGAGGGUGGCGGAAUUCCCCAAGUAGAGGUGAAAUUCGUAGAUAUGGGGAGGAACACCGGUGGCGAAGGCGACAUCCUGGACCGGUAUUGACGCUGAGGCGCGAAAGCCAGGGGAGCAAACGGG
rnacentral:rRNA from 1 species